GGAACCGAAAGGCGACCGACCCUUCGGGGAGCUUGCACAGGUGCUGCAUGGCUGUCGUCAGCUCGUGUCGUGAGAUGUUCGGUUAAGUCCGCUAACGAGCGCAACCCUCGCUGUGUGUUACAAGUGUCACACGGUACUGCCGGUCUUAAGCCGGAGGAAGUGGGGAUGACGUCAAGUCAGCAUGGCCUUUAUGUCCUGGGCUACACACACGCUACAAUGGCCAACACAAUAGGUUGCUAAGCCGCGAGGUGGAGCCAAUCCUCAAAGUUGGUCUCAGUUCAGAUUGCAGGCUGCAACCCGCCUGCAUGAAGACGGAGUUGCUAGUAACCGCAGGUCAGCUAUACUGCGGUGAGUACGUUCCCGGGGCUU
rnacentral:rRNA from 1 species